GAAAGAUGCAACCUGGGCCAGAGGCCCCUGGAGGCUGUGCCUGACCCCAGACAGAUCACACAAACCCGAGCAGCCAUUAGCAGCUGCAUGGACUCCUUUGCACCGUGGGGCUGCUCCUGGGGAUAUUUAUGUUGUGAAUGGGUAGAAUCUGAAAUGCAGAAUAUAAAUUUCCAGACAUUCUUCUUAGAUGAUGCAGUCUGCCACAGGGACCAUGUAGAUGGAUUGAAUGGGGAUAUGAUGGGGAUGACCACCCCUGCAUUUGCUAAGUUCUUGAGAGUGGCAUCAAUCUCAGCCAUUCCACUGGAAUAGGGUCAGGAAAACAAAAUGUGAGGGCUCUACCAGCUGCUCAGUCUAUCCUUUCCAAUUAAGCACACUGGAACUGAGGAAGCAACAACAGGGUAGGUCCUAAGACCCUCAUCGUCAUUGCUGAGCCUGCUUUGACAAGAACUCCGUUUAUCACCUGCCUCCAUAAUUUCCCAUCCUAACUAGCUGUCAUCAUGGAAUUUCAGGUUCUGCUGAUGUCAUUAUAAUGGAUCUUAACUAGUGGGCUGGAGGAAAUGAGGGGAUGUGAGGAUGCAUCUUGUGAAGGACAAAAGUCAUCUAGUAAGUAGUCCCCUCAGGUGAGGACUUCCUGUGGUACCCAGGUAAUUGGAGGCUGCUUUCUUCUAGCAGGGGAGAGGGGGCGGCUUCUGUUGCCCCAGAGAUCAGGGAAAUCCUAGGGUUUGGUGUUCUUAGACUCAUCUCAGUGGGAGUGGCAAUGACACUUAACUCUAACUGAAGCAUUUGGUGUCUAUGGUAUCUAUAGAUUUCGUAAGUUUCCUCCACAGUGUCCUCUGCCAUGCUGGACAGAAGUGGGUGGUAAGACGGUAUCAUUUGGUGGGAAGAGUCAAUUUCCUUGGGAAGCAGCAGAAGCUCAGCAUAACCAUUCAUUUAAAGCCUAGAGGGAUGCGGGCAUUUGAUGGUUAAGGUUAGGGGAUAAUGGGCUGGGCACAGUGGCUCACGCCUGUAAUC